GCAUGAUGGACUGAUGUACGGUGUGUGGGGAUGUAUAUGGGAGGGAUAUGUGGAUAUUUUCAGUAUACAGUAUGUGUAGUGACUAAUAACACUCAUUUGGACUGGACUAGAUGUGAGGCAGAGGAUUGGUUCCUGCACAUUUCAGACAUGAAACUGCGAGGAGUCAUUCAUCUUAUUACUCUGUGCUUCCACAGCAAAAUCCUGUUUGAAUUUGAAGUGAGGGACAUUGAAAAAUAAUGGAAACUGAUGGCAGAAUGGGCAGUUGGAACACUUUCUUAGAAAGCUGUAACCUCAGGAAGGGUAAAUCUGUGAAACAAGGGUCACCUGUGCUCGAGUUCACCUCUCCAGUGAAGUUCUGGUGCUUGCAGGAAAGGCCAGCCAUGACAACAAGAACCUGCACAUUGCUCAUCGCACCACACCUUGCUGCCGAUCAAAAACUGAUGCAGGGCUGCUGGCAGGGCUGACGGCCACGCAGGGUGAAGUGAAGCAUCUGGGCCCAGCCUCAUUCCCAUGUGCACAAAGAGCUCAAGGAUGACACUGGGGCUAAAACUCCCUGUCACUGGUGUGGUAUAAGAUAUGAACCGGUGUCAUGUCUGUUGUACAGUCUGAUAAUGUUGCCCCCCUGUUAUAAUUGUGUUCCCUGUAAUGCCACCCAGCAGUGCAGGUUAAAGUCAGUAGAUGGCACAGUAUCAACAAGAAACAGACUUCAACACAACAACAGAAAGAAAUCGGUCAGAUGAUGAAAGAAAAAUAUUAUUGUUGAAUCACACUGUUGUGGUCAGUUAUCAAGGACAAUGGAAACUGACCUGGAAGCUAUUGAACAAUAUAAAUGAUUUUUAUUAAAGAUAUUGACAAUAAAAUGAAAAAGCGCUAAAGUCCAAUAAAAAAAGACGUACGUCUCAUUUAACCAGAAGUGAAAUACAUUUUGAGAUUGAUUUGUCGGUCAAUGGGUCACAUGACCUGGAAACUAUUGAAAAUAAAAAUCUAAUUUUCAUGAGGAAUAUUUAAUAACAAUAAAUAUUUAAUAUAUUUAAUAUAACAAAACUCAAUGUCUUCAUGGAUAUCCACAGACACAUUAAUGGCAACUAAUCUGGAGUUUGUUUAAAGUAAAAAAAAAAUAAUAAUAAUAAUUGAAAAAUAAUGAUUUUUAUUUAUUUAUUUUUUUUUCAAAUCAUCAUCAGCAAAUGGUCCUUAUAUACUUUCUGUUCACUUUACUAAAGAUCUCCAGUUUUGGCUCCUGUGCCUCUGUUGCAGAUGUUCUGGUCGUGUAUCCUGCAGCAGGUCUCCUGAGGGAUCAAACCGACACUGCGUCAUGUCACCUGUCUCGCCAACAGGUGGCAGCAAACAGCUCAACUCAGUCCAUCAGGGAGCUUCACUCAAAGAAGGAACACUGACAACCAGCAGUCAGAGUUUGUCAUGGCAGCAUUGAGGGCUGAAUGGUUGAAGGAUUUCAACUCUGUUUCUUGUCACGUCCCCUUUCUCCUUCCACGUUGUCGUCAACUUUGGAAUUACUGAAGCACAGUUCUAACAGGACGGCGACAUCAUCAGACUGAACCACAGACUUCGAAACAACAUUGGAAUGUAUCGCAUCUCAUCAGUGACGGGGAGAUGUAACUGCUUGGUUGGAUAAUAUGCAAGCUACUAAAUACUAAACUGCUGCUUGUAUGUGCAUUAUUGAUUGUGUCGCGUCAAGUUUGAGAAUGACCGUUUAGAGCCGGGCUGCCCAAAGUUUAAAUUUGUCCCACCAGAUGUUUUGAGCGAAACAUUUUUUAAACAUUUUAAAAAAUGUUUUGUCAUGGCAAAGGAUCUUCAAAUAUGUGGAAUCAAUUAUAAUUAUUAAUAAUUUGUUCAUGCUUUCAUAAAAGGAAGGCAGUCAGUGAAGGAAACCUGGGAUCCUGGGAGGCCUACAAUUUUACAUCUUAACAACAUGAUGCAAGAGGCAAUUGUACACUUAAAGUCUGCAUUGUACAAUUAAACACUGAUUUCAGCAUUUCUUAAGA